CUGGAUUAAGGAGACAAGAUCACACUCGCCAGACGCUCAAAGUAUUGAAUUAACUGAUCUUUCACAAACAGUCAAGUAUUUAUAUCUUUUUAAAGCUUUUUUUAAGCUUACUUAUUGAAAUCAUUUGUAUUUACAGCAAAUCCAACUUAUUUAAAGAUGAACUCCAUCCAUGAAGGAAGAUCAGCGGGAGAUUUUCCGAUAUGGGCCAAGCUGCAGACAAACAUGGUGGUUUGAGGUGUCAUGGCAGACUGAGGUGUCAUGGCCGAUGGACGUCUACCUUCUGACCCCUUGACCCCUUACCAGUAGGCAGCGGUAAUGCACCUUUUAGUUGGUUGCCAGCGCCGUAAAACCAGAAGAAGACGGGCUAAUUUGAAGACAGAUGGCGGAAAAAAUAAAAAUGCAUGUAUCAAAUCUAAAGAAGGAUGGAUGCUUGGAGCAAAGGCCUUUGGCGCUUGGGUUUGGGUGUCCACUUUGCCCCUGUUUCAAGGCUUUAAGUGAAGAAGUGAUCCAAAGGGACUUGGGAAACCACAUUGUAAAUGCAGUGCAUUUCCAGGGUAUGUUGAUAUCAAAGAUCAUUUCUGAUGUAGUUACUAAUAAUUGCAAUUUUCAAUUAAUACUUCUGUUAUUUCGUGUGCAAAGGCUCCAAUGUUUUUAUGGCUGGAAUUUGUUUCCAUUCUUUUUUUUUCUUUUUUUCUAUCCAAAUUGUUAACAGACCUGGCCAAAGGGAAAGUGUGUUCCAACAGAAUGUACCUGUGGCAGAACCCACUGUCCUCAUGACCACUGAAACAGCACUUGAAGCUGAGGACACUUAACCUAAGUGACCAGCGGGUAUUUUCAAAUCUCAUUAGUUGUGUGCGUGUUCAUACAUUAUUUGUUCUGAUAUUUGCCUAUCUCGUCAGAUUUUUCAGCUACUGAGGGCCAUUGAAGAUUCCACAGGAGUCGGGUCCUUAAUCCGGAAAAGGGAGAUCCAGCACCUGGAUUAUGUUUUCGAUGUUAUGCUCCCAGAAAUCCUAAUCAGCAUCCUAAAAAACCAGGAAAGACGAGGCUGCAGGAGGAGAUUCUGCUGGCUCGGGGCAGCAUUUUUUAAUUCAUUAACUCAGUUGUUGUUGUUCUGUUUUUACGAGUUCUGUUUUUAGUUUUACUUGUUUGUUAUAACUGUUGAGUUGUUAAUUUACCUUCUUUGAUUCAGUUUACAUUGUUUUAUACUUAACAUACAAAUAAAGUUUAUUUAAAAUGUGUGCUCGUCUCAAGUUCUUCAUGUUGUUUGUAUGAUGGAGUCAUGAGGAAAACUUGAUCUAUAAAGGUAGGUUG